rnacentral:rRNA from 1 species
ACGGGUGAGUAACACGUGGGUAACCUGCCUCAUAGAGGGGAAUAGCCUUCCGAAAGGAAGAUUAAUACCGCAUAAGAUUGUAGUGCCGCAUGGUAUAGCAAUUAAAGGAGUAAUCCGCUAUGAGAUGGACCCGCGUCGCAUUAGCUAGUUGGUGAGGUAACGGCUCACCAAGGCGACGAUGCGUAGCCGACCUGAGAGGGUGAUCGGCCACAUUGGGACUGAGACACGGCCCAGACUCCUACGGGAGGCAGCAGUGGGGAAUAUUGCACAAUGGGGGAAACCCUGAUGCAGCAACGCCGCGUGAGUGAUGACGGUCUUCGGAUUGUAAAACUCUGUCUUCAGGGACGAUAAUGACGGUACCUGAGGAGGAAGCCACGGCUAACUACGUGCCAGCAGCCGCGGUAAUACGUAGGUGGCAAGCGUUGUCCGGAUUUACUGGGCGUAAAGGGAGCGUAGGCGGAUAUUUAAGUGGGAUGUGAAAUACUCGGGCUUAACCUGGGUGCUGCAUUCCAAACUGGAUAUCUAGAGUGCAGGAGAGGAAAGUAGAAUUCCUAGUGUAGCGGUGAAAUGCGUAGA